GACCUGGGCAUUCAGUUCUUUUAACCGACCACCCUUGGAAAAUCAAGCGCAUGUGACAAACGUCGUCCUAAUCCAACAUGUUAAAACCACAGACUAUCUGGCACAGGAGUGCCUCUAUGCUAACAGGAGCUUGGUCUUCUGCUAUAUUCUUGUGUCUGUUCUUCACAACAAGGAGAGGAGGGCUGAGAUUUGAGACUCACUGUGGAAGCACAGACACAAUGAGAUGACGUGACUAUCAUAUGAGAACUGUGAUUUUCUUUUAAACUGAACACCAUCAUUUCUUUUCAA